GUCUUUGUUUGGAACCAAAGAAAAAGAUCCUUGCAAAAGUCACACUAUAAUCAUUUUAAUAUCUUUCAAUGUUAAUAAUUUUCAAUGGAAAUGGGAAAAAUGAUACAGAAACGAUCAUUCCCUCCAAUAUCGUUAAUCAUAUCGCAAUCACUAUAUCAGUC